CUAGAAUCCCAUCUCUUCUCUUUGAACCUGCACAUCUAGGAUGAUAUAUUGGAAAAAAAAACCAAGGGAAAUAUGGGCAUAAGGAAAUGGUUAUUAAACAAGAUUUUCCUUUCACUAAAUUUCGUGUUACUCUAAUCAAACAAAUGAGUGAAAAUACAGGCCAGGUUACUUUGAAUCAAUAACAUCAGCUAUUAUUCUUAAACAAACAAACUCAUUGUAAAGUAGUCCACAGGUCCCCACACACAUAUAAUUAUGAUUUACUAGUACUCCGAAGCAAGAAGAAUAAAAAAAUGUUAUGAGUAAGGAGUAGAGUAAUAGGGGGUUAGUCCAAUAGUUAAAUUAGGAGAUUCUAUUGUACUAGUCUAU
rnacentral:misc_RNA from 1 species